rnacentral:lncRNA from 1 species
GGGCAAGCAGCGCAGCGGCGCUCCGCGACAAAGGUCUUUAUUCGCAGCCCCGGCGGCGGAGGGCCCCGGGCGGCCGCGCUGCGGGCGCUGGGAGGACGCGGCCCCGGCCCGGCGCGCCGUGGCGAGGAACGAGUCCGUACCGUGGUGUGCCGGGAGCUGCGGCUGUGGCACGGGGGAGAGCCUUUCUCCCCGCUCAGUCCUCGCGAGCCGCUGCCUAUAGCUCGUCGGUGGGGCUGUGGGGGAGCGGGGCGGCUUCCUGCACCCCGCUCUCCUCCUCCGGGAGGCUCCUGGCGCCCUCGCUUUGCUCCUUCCCCUCUUUCUUCUUCUUCUUCCCGCUCUUCUUCUUGCUCGGCUUCUCCCCCGCGCUCGCCAAGUCUCCCUUCUUGCCGGUCCACUUCUCUGCUAAGCAGCUGGCAUCCUUCCCUUUCAGCACGCGGUCAGCACAGAGGAACUGGGAGAGAUCUUCGGUCUGGUGGUGCCGGUACCAGUCCUCGAUCACGUCUUCGUACUCCUCCACCAGCACGUCGCACUGGCAGGGAGAGGACAGCCUGGCACCCAGCACGUGGCAGCAAGCCCUGAGCCCAUCCCCACACCUGCUGAGCCCUUCCCAGCCCACGCGGCCGCAGCACGCUGACCCCACCAAGUGGAUACCUGCUUCUUGAGAUCCGCCACCUCGGCAGAGGUCUCGUUCCACAGCUCGUAGGGAAUGUCCAUCACCACCUUGACGCCUUUGUGCACCAGGUUGUGCAGGGUCUCAAACGUCUCCGACAUACCCUGAGGAGAACAGAGCCACCCAGUGAGGCUGUGCCCAGGGGCGCAGACAGGCGUCAGGCAGCCGGCAUUGGGGCGUUAUGUGCCCGCCAAACUCUCUGUACUGAGCACCCCAUCCUAAACACAGCAGGAAGGCACACGUGAGACGGCACCUGACUCCCUCCUGGCCCACCUCCCCCCGAGGACAGCACCCCAGAGCAGCACGGCCUUGCCUGCUGUCAGCUGGAGCCUGGGAAGAACCGACCACAUUUCAGCACCCGGAGGGACCGCAGGGAAAACCCACCUUUGCAAAUCUGUUGCUGCCGCUCCUUUCCUUGUGCAGGUUGUAGUCCAACAGCCUCUUGCAAAUGUUCUCUGUCACCUCAAUGAGCCGGAUGUCCCUGCAUGGAGAGGAAGAAGGGAAAGGGCUCGGUGCUGCACCCCAGAACAGCCUCCAGGAUCAGGAGGAAGCAACCUGGCACGUUUCCAUGCUCCAGAGGAGGGACUCAGCCCUUCUGUUUUCACUUACGACUGUGUGUACUUGACGGCAGCCCCCUUCCCAUCCAAGAAGCCAUACUUGGUGUCGAUCACCUCCUUGGUCUUGCCGGUCUCUUCAAAGGCGGAUUUCAGCUCCAGUGCCACAUAUUUGCACACUGCGGGAGGGAAAGCACAGCAGGUGAGCGGGUCCUGAGGAAGAACCAGAUGCUGGGAGAAGAGCUCACAGGGCACGGACACCAUUGCUGUUCACAAAGAGCAGCAUCCCGAACGGUGAUCUCCUGGAGCAGGAGGACCUGGAUAGUGUUUCAGUGCAGCCACACGGGUACAGCCAGCGGGGCAGAGGGCAGCCACCCCUGCAUCCGCUCCACCUGCCCCAUCCCUUCCCCUGGGGACAGGACACCGCGAGUCACCCCUUCCCUGUGCCUCCCACAGGGGGAUGGGGAUGGCUGCCGGGCGCGUGGGUACUGCAGGGACUGCAUCACUACUGCAGGGCAGUGCAGCGUCCUGUGACGCACUGUGCAGGUACUUUGAGAACAGAGAAAUAAAAGAGGGGAGGAAGGG